CGCCUCCGGACAGGCCAUCUAUAUAUUAACGGUUGGUUUUGUAUGUUAUUAUUAAUCGGUGGUACAGAAAGCUGUCGCUUUGCAUGACUGAAAAAAGAGCAUUCGCAGCUAUUGUAACUGUUAACUGUACAGCUAACUGUAGCGUUGACAAUCUGCCGGAAACGUCGAGCUAGUUUCGUGUGCGUUUGUUGUUCUUCAUCUUCUCUUAAUUCUGCGCUGGGCUGUCGAAGCGGUCGGCCUGUACCGAAUCACACAUUCCUCCCGAUAGGGAACGGCGUGCAGGUGUUGUGUUCAGUGUAGCUACUCACUAGAGCCUGCAGAUACAGGAGACGCUCCAGCUCGUCCUUACAUUCCAUCAGCCCUGGAUUCAUACACGACGCUCUUCAAAAGGACUCGCCGACUGCUCUUUCUGCGUGUAUUUGCCAUGAGACCUCGAGGAUUUCUGAGGUCCGUCACACACACACACACACACUACCGUUUUACUGGGUAGGACACUCUCACUUUCUGCUUGACACACAUUACCCUACGCGCUGUAGGUAAAUCACUUAAAAACAAAAAACUAUGGGCAGGGAGAUCUGAAAACAUGAUUUGAAAAGAAAUGUUCACCCCAAAAUGAAAAAUGUGUAAUUUACUCUCUCACAUUGUUUUAAACAAGAUAUUCUGAAGAAUGUUGGUAACCAAACGGUUGACGGUAGCCAUUGUCUUCCAUAGUAUUUUUUCCAAAAUAUAGAGGUCAAUGGCUACCCUCAGCUGAAUGGUUACCAAGUCUUCAGAUGAACCAAGUCUUUGUUUGUUUUUUUUAACAAUAUGAGGGUGCGUAAAUUACAUUUUUAAGACAGCUAUAAUGUGAUUUCAUGUGCAUGGUUAAAUAUUUCAACAAGUAUAUGAUGACGGGUCAUUGUGCAGUGCGGUCACUGUCUGAGAAACCAAUAUAAGAGCACAGACGAGCUGCCGUGAAACGAGCUUCAUUCUGUGUCUCCAGCGGUUUCUUCAGAUGCUCUCGUCGUCGCUCAUGUCCCAGAUCUGCAGGACAGAAGAACAGGAGAUUAGAAAGCUGUUCAAACAAGAGCUGGCAGAAGUGUGAAACUGCAGCAUUAUCAUCUGAUGACGGUUCAUCUCAACAUGCAAAACUCUUCUCAAGCGCUAAUCCUGCACACAACACGCAUGUUUGAAGACUAAACUCCGAGACUGGAGAUAAGCGUCCUUUGAAGACAAAGAGGCCAGACGCGAGUGUGAGCGAGUUUGGAUGACGGAGGCACACCUGGCUGUCAAAAGCUCGGUCAUUGACAUGCUAAUAAAAGCCGAACAAAAAAACAACUUCAGCGGCCUUUUCACUUUGAAGUCUGCGCCAAGUCAAAAAAACU
rnacentral:lncRNA from 1 species